GAAAAAGUAGCUUAAAUUUUUUAAAGCCUGACUUUGAAGGAGUCAAGAUAUAUUUUUUUCUUUUUCA
rnacentral:tRNA from 1 species